UACAGAGGCCUCGAGCGUUAGGCGGAAUCACUGGGCUUAAAGCGUGUGUAGGCGGACUUCUAAGUGCCUUGUGAAAUCCCACGGCUCACCCGUGGAACGGCUGGGCAUACUGGGAGUCUUGAGCCACCUAGGGGCUGCCAGAACAAAUGGUGGAGCGGUGAAAUGCGUAGAUAUCAUUUGGAACGCCAACGGUGAAAACAGGUAGCUGGGGGUGUGCUGACGCUGAGACACGAAAGCCAGGGGAGCGAACGGG
rnacentral:rRNA from 1 species